CUGCAUGUCAGACCCCUGCCUCCCUCGAUCACCAUAGGGAGUGUGGGUGACGGAGAGACAUGCCAGAGUCAAACAGCAUGGAGCUCACAGGGCCAGCAGUCUCACAGAGCGGACUGACUGGUAGUAUCGCGCUCCAACACUU